UGGUGGGAUGGAAGGAGAGACAGUUAGCACUCCCCUUGAUAAGGAUGGAAGAGGUCCUGGUGGCCUUUAAAACAUGCAUGGAUUUAAGGCAUUGCCACUUACUUUGUGGCAUCUAGCCAAGUUUGUUU